CUGCACCGCACCAAAAGCCGGAUGGGAAUACUAGGUUAGCUAGCUAACUAACAAGCAAAUGUUAUCUAUAGUUAUAUUCACGAAACAUGAAUUGCUGGGCAGGUAUUCAUCUAUAAAUGUUAGUAAAUCAGUAAAUAGUAUUAGCUGACUUACAUACGUUGAAGAUUGCUAGCUACCACAAGCCAGAAAAUCUGAUUUGUUUUCAGAAGCAAAAAAAGUGACAACGGAGUGCAUGAGGGAGGCAACUGGCUGACAACGCCUUAGCUAACAUUCUGUGGGCUACCUUGAUAACUAAUGCCAAUCAGCUAUAAGGACAGGUAUAAAACCUCUGAUGGGUCUUUUAACAAAGAGAUAGAGGACUCGUGUGAUGACUUCCACCCACCAUGGAGCUCUCCUUGUGUUCUCUGUCAGUUCUGAUGCUAGUGGCUGUUGUGUUCAUGGUACCAAUGAAAGACAGAAGUGACGAUGUGUUAAGCUUUUUGAAUGGUGCACUUGAUGUUGCUCCCGCUACUCAAAGCACCUCAGGAAAAAUCAAAGGUCCCCAAAACCCCUCUGGUAAACCAGCUCCAACCCCAGGUCCCCAAAACCCCUCUGGUAAACCAGCUCCAACCCUAGGUCCCCAAAACCCCUCUGGUAAACCAGCUCCAACCCCAGGUCCCCAAAACCCCUCUGGUAAACCAGCUCCAACCCCAGCAAGACCAAGUCCUUUAAGACCAACAGAGAACUCUGCAGAUGUUGUAGGCUCAGAUGACAGAUUCAAAGAGAAAUGCAACUCCGAUGAUCUUACAGAUGCAGAACGAUCUGAAAGUAACUCAGCAGAAAGCAGAGAGGAUUAUGAUGACUCUCUGGGAUCUAAUACAAAGAUUACACAAACUGUGACAGACGACAGUAGCAGCGACGAGACUGACAGUUCUCCUCCAAGUGAUGUGAGAAAAUACAAACAACCUCCAGGAAGGAGAACCAUAAACCCAGACCAUGUUGACAGCAUGCAGACAACCACCAGGCAGACAACCACCAGGCAGGAUCCAACCAAUGGGAGCGAGGUGCUGGAUAGAGCGGCUCAGAGGGACCCCACAGUGGGGAGAGAGAGAACCAGCAGAGUGCUCAUUGAUCUCAACAGUGAAGAGGAUGUGAUGGUGGGGUGUCAGGUUACUGUCUGUGUGCCCGGAGAGCAGGGGACUACAGUCAAUGGAGGUGAAAAUGAUGAGAAUACAAGUCUAAACAGUAGAGAUAGAGAUAUCCAAAGCCAAGAGGUCACAGGCACAGCCCCGGAGCAGGCCCUACGUAGGGAUAGUUGUAGGGGUGUAGUGAAUGGAGUGUUGGACACAGCCAGAGAACAGCAGGACUUGGACAGUAUGGAGCAUGUCAAUGGUAGACCCAAUGGAGUAGAGUAGAGGUUCAUCUGGCUUCUAUUCUACCAUGAUUCCAAACUACGGGUUUACAAAAAUGAAGAUCCACAGCAGAAUUCUUUAACUACUGAACCUAUAUUAUUGAAAAAUAUCUGAAUGAUUGCUUUCUAUCCUAACAGAAACCAGAGAUGACAUCAGCACUGAGACGAACCCAGUCGUGAUUGGAUAGCCUCCAGGAGCCCCAGCCAGGAGCCCCAGCCAGGAGCUCCAGCCAGGAGCCUGUCAUUGCCAGAGGCUUCCUCCAGGUAGAGUUGGCUCAGCUCUACCCUGCAGGGCCUGUAAAUCUCCCUGCCUCUCACUCGUGUGUCGUCUCCCUCAAGCUCCACCGACUCUACCAGACCGCAGAGUCCCUCUCACACUUAUAUUCAUGACAGAGACGUCAGUACAUCUGUGGAUAUUUACCACCAAUUUUUCACUUGAUCUUGAUCUUACUGCCGGUAGGCAAUUUGAAUUGUGGGUGAAUGGAAAUAAGAUGUUUGGCUCCAAUCUGAUCUGAUCAAUCUGAUGAAAUAAAGGUUUCUCAAAAAGCAUUGUUUGUUGUACUAAUUCGAGGUAAUUCAAUAAAAGGCUGUGUAUACAUGCACAUUCACAAUUGUAAGGAAAGACAA